rnacentral:piRNA from 1 species
UUUAAUCUUUUUUUUAACAAA